rnacentral:rRNA from 1 species
CGGGGGAGCAAGCGUUGUUCGGAUUUACUGGGCGUAAAGGGCGCGUAGGCGGCCACCGCAAGUCGACUGUGAAAUCUCCGGGCUUAACCCGGAAAGGUCAGCCGAUACUGCGGGGCUAGAGUGCAGAAGGGGCAACUGGAAUUCUCGGUGUAGCGGUGAAAUGCGUAGAUAUCGAGAGGAACACCUGCGGCGAAGGCGGGUUGCUGGGCUGACACUGACGCUGAGGCGCGAAAGCUAGGGGAGCGAACGGGAUUAGAUACCCCGGUAGUCCUAGCCUUAAACGAUGAAUGCUUGGUGUCUGGGGUUUUAUAGUCCCCGGGUGCCGUCGCUAACGCUUUAAGCAUUCCGCCUGGGGAGUACGGUCGCAAGACUG